rnacentral:rRNA from 1 species
UACGGAGGGGGCUAGCGUUGUUCGGAAUUACUGGGCGUAAAGCGCGCGUAGGCGGGCUGUUAAGUCGGGGGUGAAAUCCCGGGGCUUAACCCCGGAACUGCCUUCGAUACUGGCAGCCUAGAGGAAGGCAGAGGCUAGUGGAAUGGCGAGUGUAGAGGUGAAAUUCGUAGAUAUGCGCCGGAACACCAGUGGCGAAGGCGACUGGCUGGGCCUUUUCUGACGCUGAGGUGCGAAAGCGUGGGGAGAAAACAGG